UGGAUCCAGACUUUGAUCAUGGCUCAGGAUAAGCGCUGGCGGCGCACAUAAGACAUGCAAGUCGAACGAACUUAAUUCAUUCUUUUAGAUUGAAAGCGGUUAGUGGCGGACUGGUGAGUAACACGUAAGCAAUCUGCCUAUCAGAGGGGAAUAACAGUGAGAAAUCAUUGCUAAUACCGCAUAUGCUAACAGUAUCGCAUGACACAGUUAGGAAAGGAGCAAUCCGCUGAUAGAUGAGCUUGCGUCUGAUUAGCUAGUUGGUGGGGUAACGGCCUACCAAGGCGACGAUCAGUAGCCGGACUGAGAGGUUGAACGGCCACAUUGGACUGAGAUACGGCCCAGACUCCUACGGGAGGCAGCAGUCGGGAAUAUUGCGCAAUGGAGGAAACUCUGACGCAGUGACGCCGCGUAUAGGAAGAAGGUUUUCGGAUUGUAAACUAUUGUCGUUAGGGAAGAUACAAGACAGUACCUAAGGAGGAAGCCCCGGCUAACUAUGUGCCAGCAGCCGCGGUAAUACAUAGGGGGCAAGCGUUAUCCGGAAUUAUUGGGUGUAAAGGGUGCGUAGAUGGAGAAGCAAGUUGGUUGUGAAAUCCCUCGGCUCAACUGAGGAACUGCAACCAAAACUACUUCCCUUGAGUGUCGGAGAGGAAAGUGGAAUUCCUAGUGUAGCGGUGAAAUGCGUAGAUAUUAGGAGGAACACCAGUGGCGAAGGCGACUUUCUGGACGAUAACUGACAUUGAGGCACGAAAGUGUGGGGAGCAAACAGGAUUAGAUACCCUGGUAGUCCACACUGUAAACGAUGGAUACUAGGUGUAGGGUGUAUUAAGCACUCUGUGCCGCCGCUAACGCAUUAAGUAUCCCACCUGGGGAGUACGACCGCAAGGUUGCAACUCAAAUGAAUUGACGGA
rnacentral:rRNA from 1 species